ensembl:snRNA U6 U6 spliceosomal RNA
GUGCUCACUUCAGCAGCACAUGUACUAAAAUUGGAAGGAUACGGAGAAGAUUAGCAUGGCCCCUGCGCAAAAACAAUCUCAAUCCUCUAUAUUGUAGUGAUUAUUUUU